GUCAGGGUUUUAUCAGAAAAAUAGAAGCCACUCUGUAUCUUCCAAGUAUGAAGAAUUUUAAGACAGUAGAAUAAGACCACCAGAGAAGCAAAGACUAGCCUGGAGCAUGGAAGGAAAAGAUUCUCAAGAGCUCACCUGGGAGACAGCAAAGCUUAUGAACUCUAAGAUGCUCCUGACACCUGUCUCAGCCUGAAGCACAAUACAGGCAAUUCUCAAAAAGUUCAUCUGGAAGCUGCUUCGAACUCCUUAUUUCUCUGGGCAUCUGCCUAUAACUGCCUCUGGAAAAUACUGGUCUCACCUCUCUUCCCCCUUCCUGAUGUGAGUAUCUCUCAUUGGAUGGUCUCCCCUGGAACUUCACAGAGGAGAGGAUUCUGCAAAAGCAGCCAUUUGGUUUCUCUUCUUCAAAGCAGGGAGACAAUAAAAGGGUUGGCAGAGAUGUUCAAUAACAAGAGAAAUAGUUCAGCACCUAUAUCCUACAAUCACUAAAACCAGUUACAUUUGUGACAUUGAUGACAUUGAAUGUAACAGACACUUCAUUCACUGGGCAGAAAUGCCCUUCCUAUAAAAUCCCAGCAGCUAAAUGAUAAUGCAAGUUCACUAUAGUCCAUACAAUAAGAGUUAUGACUGCAGCUAAGCUGUUUGCAUUACUUUUUUAUGACUGUUAAGUAGGUAGAUGAGUCAUAUCCUUGUGUCCUACACAUAACCCAUUAAAAGCAACAGGCCUCUACAGACCUGGGGAAAAAGCAGGACAGUCUUAAACUCUUAGAUUUAAUUCCUGGCAGAGGUGCUAUAAGUCAAAAUGAUGUAAACUGAAUCAGAUUUUCCAGCAGAAACUAAGCCACUUUCAUUACAAACAGCCUGAAGACUAACUUUUUAUGGAGAAUGACCACAAAUGCCACAAUUAAUUAAAUUCAAAUUGUAUAUAUAUAUAUAUAUAUAUAUAUAUAUAUAUAUAUAUAUAUAUACACACACACACACACACAUACAUAUAUGUGUAUGUGAACUUAAUGUAAGCCUUAAAAAAUGUAUAGACAGCAAAUAGAGUAAUAUGGAAGUCAACCGCUAGAGUAUGAUAAUUAAUUAAACUGUUAACACCUUUUAAUAGUUUUGUUUUAUUUACCACAAUGAAUGAAAUUACAUUUGUUCAGGGAAUCUUGAAGUACAUUCUGAUAGGAAUCUUUAAAUAGAUCUUUGAAGAAACUUAGAAUAUGUAAUGUUAUUUUGAGAAAUAAAUCCAAAGAUGUAUGCUUGUCAGUGUAGAUCUGUUUAAAGCCAACAUAUGGAUAAUUCAACAAAUGAUAAUGCAACAAAUAACUCCAUAUUUGAAUUGUUUUACCUUCUCAACUAUGGUCAUGUAAGAAGUAGUUACUUAUUUACUUAUAUCCUCAUCUUAUGUGAGGCAUGCAUUUUUUAAAAAAUAUAUAUUUUCUUUUAAAAUGCAUAACUUUAAUUUGCACUGAAAUUUCCACUAUUUAUCCCCUGUUACAUUGUUGCAGAGUGUCAAGAUCUCUCAGUUCCUGGCCUGAAAUACUAGCCAGAGUCAGUCACAUACAUUAUUAGGUUGAUCGUGAGUCCAGAAGUAAGCCUUUUUAAUCUAUAGUAGAAGGAAUCCACUAAUGGAGAAAUGUACUGUCUGUUUAAAAAAAAAUGUAAAUGAAAGAGUGAAUAGUUAGAAUACUUGUAAGUUAAAAAGCUGCAUCUUGGGCUGGGGAUGUGGCUCAAGCGGUAGCGCACUCGCCUGGCAUGCGUGUGGCCCGGGUUCGAUCCUCAGCAUCACAUACAAACAAAGAUGUUGUGUCCGCUGAAAACUAAAAAAUAAAUAUUAAAAUUCUCUCUCUCUCUCUCUCUCUCUCUCUCAAAAAAAAAAAAAAAACAAAGCUGCAUCUUUAUCCCAUGAGCAUGCUGGACCAUAGAGGUCUAAAUUCAUAGUCUUCAAAAGUUGUUGCCUUGGUCUCAGCAUUUCCAGAAUUUCCCCUUGCGAAUUACCUUUAGAAUUGGAAUGAUCCAGGUGAUCAGUGUUCAGUUCACAUUUUCACAUUCAGCUUUCAUUUGUCUACUGCAUUUCUGUUCCUUUUCCUCCUCUCCCUUCUCCUCCUCCUCCUCCUUCUUCUCCUCCUGCUUCUCUUCUUUCUCUCCCCCUCCUCUCUUCCAAUUGAUCUGAUGAAAUUCAGAUUUGCCUUCUACUCUGCUGCCUUCAUAUUGGAACCAACCAGGAAGUUCUCUUAGUGUGAAGGGUAAGUAACAAGGAGCAGAACUGGGGGAGCCCAAGAGUCUGCUGGGAAAGGGAAGGGAGGCUUAGGCCAACUCCACGUCCUGUGAUGACAGACUACCGCACUGAGAAACACAGCACUCCUGUUCCCAAAGUCACCCGCUAGAAGUGUUACCAAGUCUCUGAUAACUUGGGAUGAGCAUGUGGAAUAGUUAACCCUUCUUACUCUUAACAUUCUAUGGCUGAGAUGUCUCUCAUCUGCUUGAUGAAGGGACAUAGAAGGCAUAAUUUACUAAACCAUUACAAUGGAAAUAGGUGUCAGGGGUUAAUACAAAUUUAGGUGGAGAAAGAAAAUUUAACAUAUCCAAUCUAAAGCCACUGACAAAGGGGAAGAGUUUAGGCUUGACUGAAUGUGUUGUAGGAAGGUCUCAUGGAAGAAGUAGGAUUUCUAGAACAUAUGAAUGAUGUGAGGAGGAGGGUCAACUUAUCAGUUUCUCAAUGCAAGUGGACAAGCACUUUAUGGCUCUGGGAAAUGCUAGUACUUGUUAUUGAGUUCCUCCCACCUGCCUUUGACUUCUUCCCCGCACCACCUCACCUCUCUCAAGUGACAGAGCUUCUCCCCUGUUGACAUCUGGGAUUCCCUCCAGCAUGGAACCUUUCCUAACCAACUGGCAGGGAGAAAGUGAUUCUUUCUGCUGAAAGCACUGGGACCUAAACCCAGAGCCAGGCUAUUAUACCAAUAUUUCAUCCAAUUCUCUUGAAAGCUGCCUAGGAUUUGUUUCCUGUGAUAGGUAUUUAAUUUAGAUUAUUGACGGAAGUUACAAUUUUUGAAUAUUUCAUCUGGUUUGGUUUUCAACUUUUGUAUUUAACAGGUUGGCCUCAGGUUUAAUCAAGGUUGAUCAUAGCUCAGUUCAUCUUCCCAAGUUACAGUUGUCAAGAUGAUCUCUACAAGAAAAAGGAACACUCUUACAUUGUGGUAGGACUGUAAAUUAGUGUAACCACUAUGGAAAUCAGUAUGGAGGCUUCUCAAAAGACUAGGCAUGGAACCACCAUAUGACCUAGCUAUAACACUUCUUGGCAUUUAUCCUGAAGAAUUAGUCAUCCUAUAACAGUGAUACAUGCAUACCUGUGUCUAUAGCAGCACAAUUCACAAUAGCCAAACUAUGGAACCAACCUAGGUGUCCAUCAAUGGAUGAAUAGAUAAAGAAAAUGUGGUAUAUACACAAUGGAAUUUUACUCAACCAUAAAUAAAAAUGAAAUUAUGUCAUUUUCAGAAAAAUGGAUGAAACUUGAGACCAUCAUGUUAAGUGAAAUAAGUCAAACUCAGAUAGUUAAGGGUCAUAUAUUUCAUAUGUGGAAGCUGGAGGAAAAAGGAAAACAAAGAUAGGGGUUGUCUUCUAAAAUCAAAGGAAGAUCAGUAGAGGAAAGGAAUCCAAGGAAGGAAGGUAGAGAGGAAGGGGGAACGUGCUGGGGAGUGAUAUUGAUCAAAUUAUAUUAUUAUGUUGUAUGCAUGUAUACAUAGGAAACAACAGAUCCCAUCCAUAUGUACAACUAUAAUGCACCAAUUUAAAAAAAGUGGGGGGAAAAAGAGUUGUUCUCCACAAAAUUUCCUGCUAUGAUACUUGGCAAGUUUAAGACUGACCAAGGUCCAAUGGGGACGGGUAGGGGAGCCACACUGCCCAGGACUGUGGUUCAGGCUGUCCUUACUGAUUCCCUGCUUGAACUGUUCUCCUUCUGUUCUUCAUUUUCCUCUUCCUAAGAGAGGAAGUGUACACCUGUAUGUGUUGGAUGGCAGGGGGCGGGAGUGGGAGUGGGGUGUCUUCCUACCUAGAUUUAGCUGUGCCUCUGAGAUCCUUCAGGAAGGGAUGGAGGGACCAAAUCACAUUUCCUACCCUGGAUGCUGAGAUUCCUUGCUUGCAGAUGGAAAAGAGGCCAAGGUGAAAGUUCCUAGGUCAUAAAUGGAGAACAGGAAGCCAGGGAGGCACAAAAGAACACACUGCACUCUUGGAUUAUAAUAAAUAGAUGGAAGAAAUGAAAUAACCUGAAUAGGCCCCAUUCCCCAAUGGAUAGCGAGUGCUGAAGAGAGACAUUACUCAUCCAGGCUCAUUUCUUUAUUUUAUAGGGAAUUAUAAUCUAGAGAAAAGUAAUAACUUGCUCUCAUAUAUUACAGGAACUUUCACACUUUAGAUUCAAUAUUAUCCUUUGUGCUUCAACUAGAAAUAAAGUUAAGUUAAUUCUCAAACAAUGGCAUUCAUUCCAAAAUCCAAAACCAAGAAGAACUGGCAGGACCCAUGUUACCUGCCCCACACCCAUCUGUAUCAACCCCACAUCCAAAGUCUCAACAAAUUAAGUAAGCAAAUAAAUAAAAGGUAAAUUUCAGUAAUAAAUAAAUAAAUAAAAGGCAUAUAUUUUAAAUUCCCAGACUGAUGAGGUCACAGAACACUCUAGAAGAAAGAAACUAGGCCAAAGAAAAUUCUAUAAAAUACAACUGCUCGCUUGGCACCAAGGUGCACUCCUGUAGUCCCAACUGCUCAGGAUGCUGAGGAAGGAGGAUCAAAAGUUCAAGGCUGACCUGUGCAACUUAGUGAAACCCUGUCUCAAAAUUUAAAUACUUUUUAAAAGGUCUGGGGAAAGAGCUCAGUGGUAAAGCAACCCCCAGAUGGGUCCCCAGUAAUGGAAGAAAAUAAAAUACAACUCGAAUAAUUGACUUAUUUAAGAAAAAAAUAAAUUCUGAAUUUCAUGUCUAUAAAAGCCAGAUAGGUAUCUCAUUGAUGUAAAUGAAAUAUGAAUUUUUCUUUCAUUAAUUGUGCUCAUGUGUUUGUUCCAUUUCUAGUUAGCUGGUCACCUGGAUCAUGGAAGCCUACCUUUAAGACAAAUUCCCCAGCUUCUCUGCUAAUACUGGUGCUCCAAAGAGCCUCUUCUGUAGAAACCCUAGAGGCACCACUAUAAGGAAAACAUGUGGCUCACUCCAGAGUUCUAGGGGCUUCUCACUAGCAGGCACUCUGGACAAAGAUUGUAAAAACUCAGUCAUCAGUGUCACCAAGGCCAGGCUGUGGAAAUUGGAGUUGUCUCUCCCUCCUCAUCCCAUGAAACAGCAUAGCCCUCCUGCUGAUGAAGCCCCUCUGAAGCCAGGGACAGAGAGCAGGAGCUAUGAUGAAAUUCCCCUGAGGGAACUCAAGAGUCUUGCCUGGGAGAAGACAGAGACUGACUUGACACUCCAUUUGACUCACCUCUUGGGAUGUGCACAGAAGUACUUUCUCUCCGCCUUACUUUGUAGGAGGGCAGGCUGCCCACUGGAAAUUCACUCUGGGGAGAGCUGCAAAGCUAACCCUUAUCAUUUAUAAGCACUGUAAAACCUUGGCCAUUCACUAGUGAUUUACAAUGUUUGAUUUCUCCCUGGGACAGAGGAGUACACUGUAAAUCAAGUCCGUCUUGGUUUGUCAACCCCAUGUCAGUGUUUGCUGAGUCCUCAAGUCAAAGGCAAGUCGGAACAGUGUGGAGACUUUGGCAAAGGACUAGUUCCCCCCUCUCUAGCUUCCCAUUUUGAUGAAACAAUUCUAGGGUGAGGUUGGCCCUAGGAAUUAUUUCUCUGACUCAUAUUCCCUUUGCUCUUUUCACACACUCAGAAUGCAACAACUCCGAGUACCUCAUAGCCCUGGGCAGAGAGAGGCCAGGGUUGGGGCAAAGCCCUACUGGGGCCCACUCCCAAGGCUGAGAAGACAAACAGGGAGGUGUCUCUCCCAAGCUGAUUUCUUUCAUCACCCCAAGCUAUUUGGGGACACCAUUGCCACAUACCUCAUGAAGAGGCCUCAAACUGGUUUUGUCUCUCAAAGGUGGGAACAGGCCUACUUAAGAUCCACAUACAAAGCUGACAGAGAGUUAAGCUAAGCAAAGAUGGAAACAGUUGGUUUGUUAUCUUCCCUGCUUGUUGGGAAGAGGAAUAAGGGGAAUACUGCAUCUUCAGAGACUCGGGUAAACGUGAGAGACACCGACUCUAAUCCAGAAAAGCAGCUGGACUGUUUGAAGACAUCUCAUUCCUUGCUUCAUUUUUGAUAAUCUGAUUCAGCAGACAUUUACUCUUGUUGGCAUUGAGGUUGCAAAGAAGGGAAGACAUAGGACCCACCUUCAAAAAACAUAGAACUUAAGAGGCAAAUAAACAAACAAAUUUGAUAUAAUUCAUGAGUGCUAAAGAGAGUCAGAUGUAGAGAGCUGUUUUUCCUUUUCCAGAAUACAGGUGGUAAAACACACACACAUACACACACACACACACACAUGCUCCAGAGCAUCUGUAACAUUAGGUUUCUCCUUUCAUGACUGGGAGCUCGGGAAUCUUUCAGGUGGAGCAAGAAGCUCAACCAGCACUCAUUCAUUGCACAAAGGCUACCUGAGCUCUGCCACUUUCUUUUUUUUUUAAUUUUUUAUUGUUGGCUGUUCAAAACAUUACAUAGUUCUUGAUAUAUCAUAUUUCACACUUUGAUUCAAGUGGGUUAUGAGCUCCCAUUUUUACCCCAUAUACAGAUUGCAGAAUCACAUCAGUUACACAUCCAUUGAUUUACAUAUUGCCAUACUAGUG
rnacentral:lncRNA from 1 species